rnacentral:rRNA from 1 species
UACGUAGGGUGCGAGCGUUGUCCGGAAUUAUUGGGCGUAAAGGGCGCGUAGGCGGCUUGGCAAGUGGAAGGUGAAAUCCCUCGGCUUAACCGAGGAACUGCCCUCCAAACUGCUUCGCUUGAGACCGGGAGAGGUGAGUGGAAUUCCCAGUGUAGCGGUGAAAUGCGUAGAUAUUGGGAGGAGCACCAGUGGCGAAGGCGGCUCACUGGACCGGUACUGACGCUGAUGCGCGAAAGCGUGGGGAGCAAACGGG